CCUACGGGCGGCAGCAGUAGGGAAUAUUGGGCAAUGGAGGCAACUCUGACCCAGCAACGCCGCGUGAAUGAUGAAGGUCUUCGGAUUGUAAAGUUCUGUGAUGGGGGAUGAACACAAUGACGGUACCCCAAUAACAAGCCACGGCUAACUACGUGCCAGCAGCCGCGGUAAUACAGAGGUCUCAAGCGUUGUUCGGAAUCACUGGGCGUAAAGCGUGCGUAGGCUGUUUCGUAAGUCGUGUGUGAAAGGCGCGGGUCCAACCCGCGGACGGCACAUGAUACGGCGAGACUAGAGUAAUGGAGGGGGAACCGGAAUCCUCGGUGUAGAAGUGAAAUGCGUAGAUACCGAGAGGAACACUCGUGGCGAAGGUGGGUUCCUGGACAUUAACUGACGCUGAGGCACGAAGGCCAGGGGAGCGAAAGGGAUUAGAUACCCGGGUAGUC
rnacentral:rRNA from 1 species